GAUAAACGCUAGCGGCAGGCUUAACACAUGCAAGUCGAGGGGCAGCAUAGAUUGUAGCAAUACAAUUGGUGGCGACCGGCGCACGGGCGCGUAACGCGUAUGCAACCUACCCGUCACAGGGGGAUAAUCCGGAGAAAUCUGGUCUACUACCCCAUAACAUAUGGAUCGGCAUCGGUUCAUGUUGAAAUUUUCGGAGGUGACGGAUGGGCAUGCGUAGCAUUAGCUUGUUGGUGAGGUAACGGCUCACCAAGGCGACGAUGCUUAGGGGGACUGAGAGGUUUUCCCCCCACACUGGUACUGAGACACGGACCAGACUCCUACGGGAGGCAGCAGUGAGGAAUAUUAGUCAAUGGGCGCAAGCCUGAACCAGCCAUGCCGCGUGCAGGAUGACGGCUCUAUGAGUUGUAAACUGCUUUUGUACGAGGGUAAAGUGGGUUACGUGUAACCUUUUGAAAGUAUCGUACGAAUAAGGAUCGGCUAACUCCGUGCCAGCCGCCGCGGUAA
rnacentral:rRNA from 1 species